AUCCUUUUGUAAUACAUAACCAUGAUGAUUAGGUUUUUAUGUUCAUAUGUUAGAUAUACCUCCCUCAAAUCCUCUUAUGAUGUCAGCGCAUUACCCAUCUGACG
rfam:Callithrix jacchus chromosome 12, whole genome shotgun sequence